rnacentral:rRNA from 1 species
GGCGNGCUUACACAUGCAAGNNNNNNCGAGAACGGUACUAGCUUGCUAGUAUGUCNGCUAAGUGGCGGACGGGUGAGUAAUGUAUAGUUAAUCUGCCCUUCGGAGAGGGAUAACUACUGGAAACGGUAGCUAAUACCUCAUACUCCUUUUACUGUAAUGGUAAUUGGGAAAUGUUUUUUCGCCAAAGGAUGAGACUAUAUGGUAUCAGGUAGUUGGUAGGGUAAGAGCCUACCAAGCCAAUGACGCCUAGCUGGUCUGAGAGGAUGAUCAGCCACACUGGUACUGAGACACGGACCAGACUCCUACGGGAGGCAGCAGUGGGGAAUAUUGCGCAAUGGAGGAAACUCUGAUGCAGCAACGCCGCGUGGAGGAUGACGCAUUUCGGUGUGUAAACUCCUUUUAUAUAGGGAAGAUAAUGACGGUACUAUAUGAAUAAGCACCGGCUAACUCCGUGCCAGCAGCCGCGGGUAAUACGGAGGGGUGCAAGCGUUACUCGGAAUCACUGGGCGGUAAAGCGCGCGCAGGNGGUUUGAUAAGUUUGGANGUGAAA